GUGCCAGCAGCCGCGGUAAUACGGAGGGGGUUAGCGUUGUUCGGAAUUACUGGGCGUAAAGCGCGCGUAGGCGGAUUAGUCAGUUAGAGGUGAAAUCCCGGGGCUCAACCCCGGAACUGCCUUUAAUACUGCUAGUCUUGAGUUCGAGAGAGGUGAGUGGAAUUCCGAGUGUAGAGGUGAAAUUCGUAGAUAUUCGGAGGAACACCAGUGGCGAAGGCGGCUCACUGGCUCGAUACUGACGCUGAGGUGCGAAAGUGUGGGGAGCAAACAGGAUUAGAUACCCUGGUAGUCCACACCGUAAACGAUGAAUGCCAGUCGUCGGGUAGCAUGCUAUUCGGUGACACACCUAACGGAUUAAGCAUUCCGCCUGGGGAGUACGGUCGCAAGAUUAAAACUCAAA
rnacentral:rRNA from 1 species